CUUCUAACAAACGGAGCCGAACAGUUCGUGGCGGCCAUCAGAAAGGCUCGGAAGCGCGUCGAAUUAACACCCGGCAGCCAUUUGUCAGCGCAGGAUGACGGCCGGCAGAAAAUUGAUCAAAUACUGACCAGAAAUCACACCCCAUCAGUUAAAUGUCCAUCUGAACGGCCAGAUUCGAGCCGCAUUGAUUCUCGCGAUCUGAUUUUUCACAAUCCCAGCAGGCUAUGAACAGUUUUAGAGCAGCUACGGCGACAGGCGGCCGAUCGAGAGUGCGGCGACAACGUCCUGGGACAGAGCGCGCUCUUUUCAAAUGUUUGUUGUGUUGAUGUGUCGACUUUCUCAGUCAGAUCAGUGAGGCCGCGUCAUCACAUGCACAAACAGCAGACAGAUAAAAGAUAAUGUACUGCGAAUUGGUUACUGCUCUGCCUCACGAAACUAGGUUGAAAUACUAGACAUCAACAGAAGAUGGUACUACCGAGCCAUCAGGGCUCGGCCAAAAUAUGCAGCUUACUCAAGGUCGCCAUUUUUCGAAAAGACUUCGUAUUCAACUGGGAUCCAACGCGUGCGCGGUGUUUAACAUAAGCUGCACACAUUCAUCAAAGACUAAUAAUAAUCAAACCAGAAAUCUCAACAGUAAUUCCAUUAAUAAUAUCCUUACGCUUAAGCAGAUUAGUAUUCUAUGCAUAAAGACAACGUCAGCAUCACUACUUAAUCCCAUUUGUAUAGAACUAUGAAUAUUAGCAUCCUUACGACUAACCAUAUACAUAUCAUCAAGGUAGGCUUCAAAGAGUAACACUGACGUCACCGUGGUCUCUUUGUAUGAAGGGUUGCUGGUCAAGAUUCCGACCAGAGCCCUUACGGCUUACCCACUGGCCUCCCUAUUAUUCUACGUCAUCAUCUUUUUGACAGCGGUGGUCCGGGCCUCCAGCACACCGUUUAAAUACCCUCAUAAUUCCAAACUCAUAACCUCUUCCAGUUUAGUUUUAAGGAAAAGUGAUACUAGCAUAAUACCCCCUAGUUCUAAAACUCACUAUUCAUAUUCAGCCCUUCAAAGCGCCAAUAGUAUCGACCUUACCGACCCGACCCGAUCUGGUGAAAGACACUUAACCCAACCGACCGACGACAAUAGUGUUAGAAAUUCCGAAGUUUUCAAUAAUAGUGAUAGUGACGACAUUUUAAAGGAAAGUGUAACGAAAUUUUCGACGCGACUUAACAAUACGCGAACCGAAACUUUUAAGAGGGCGAAGUCUUCAUACGUCAACCCAAAUUCGACUGUCACCGGGGGACGGAAGACUUUCGACAGCGUUUACUUGUCCAUGCCAUCGGCGCAUGCGCAGGAUACAGACUCAUAUGCUGUCGGUAGUAAGCGCCGGUGCCGCGGCUGGUAUGGGCGGCAUGGACCGGUUGCGAGGCGGCGGAAGGGCGGCAGCAAGAGAACUGGCCGCCACCCGCGACCGGCAGGUACGACUGCAUGCUGUGACAACCGAUCUGAGCCUGAACCUGCCGCCCAGUAUAGCGUUGCCUGAUGGAGAGGAAUAUCAUUAUCACCAUCGCCACCACCACCACCAUCGAACCGCCUAUUCAUCCCGUUCUCGAUUUCAUAUGAGGACUCCCGAACAAGAAGCGGAAAUUUAUCAGAAAUGUGUCCGACCGCCACCCAAUAGAUCAGCCAGGGAGAGCAAGUCUCCUCCCCCGUACCGAUCGAGUUCGGCUGGUGUCUUGGCUUCCAGCUCCUCUUCUUCGGGCGCUAGCAGCGAUUGGAGCUCAUCCUCAGGAAGUGAUCCCAUGGUGGUGCGAUGCCACUCAAUGUCCUCCACUUCAUCUGCGAUGUCCUGUAAACCGGAAGUGUCCGGCACGUCCCACCACCACAGCGUUUCGUCUCAGAGUGCGCAAAAGACUGACUUUCUGCAACGGACUGUUAAGAUAUUUACUGGUAAAAAAUCGCCUGCAACGAGCAGUAGUCAACCGAUGGCGGCUGCACCGUGUGUGAUAGUACCGACUGCGGCGGCGCAAAAUCGGGCCCAACCCAGGCGGGACGCAGGCCCAGGCCAGAAGCCUCCUGUCUGACUACCGCCCCCCGUUUAGAUGAAAAUUUUCGUGGAUAUUUAUUCCAAAAAUUAAAUUGUAGCGAUGGUCUGCCCGGUAUUCACUUGCAACAUUGUCUAGCAAUCUUCAAAGGUCUGAACAACAACGUUGAUCGUUACUGGUUUAACAAUAUUCCAAAUUCCUAGUAAAUUGCUUUGAACUAUGAUGUCAGACAGUGGGAAAUCAAAGCACACCAUCACUGAGAGAAACUUUGAAUUUCGGUCCGGAGCUGAACAUUUGAUGUUUGGGCAGCCAAAACAAUUAACAGAAUAAUUGUAGUUAAACUAAUGUUGAUGAACUGUCGAGAAACGGCCAUUGGAUUCAUCAAAGUUUAGCGAGUCCUGGCCUAUAGGGUGCUGGUCAGCUAGUGUGCGUUCGUUAUUUGCAAUAACUGAUCUAGAUUAAGUCGAAAUUAUGGUCGAUAUCGAUUAUGGUCAAUAUCGAAAACCCAUUGCUCAGUCGUUGCAGUGUAGAAAACCGAUGGACAACUUCUGGAUGUGAUUCACUGUGAAUGGACAAAUAAUUCGCGAAAUAUCUGAGCCCCGGCAACCCUACGUAUUUCACUAGUUUAAUCGAUUUGACGAGGCGCGGUGUGCGUAGCCAAAUAUUUUAUAACUUAUGUACUGUGUACAUGGUAUAGAUGGAAGCUGCUUUUGGACUGAAAAUCCUGUUUUACGUAACACCUUUCAACAUAACUCGUUGAGUUCACCACAGUAUUAUUAAAACAAAUAUAGUCGUUACUUUGAGACCUAUUUUAGACUCGAUUGCUUUGAAAUUGUUCCCGCUCUCUUAAAACAAGGGUUUCAUAUCAACAGUGCGCUUCCCCAAAAUCAUGCUAUAAUUAUAUGAAUCAAAAUGUAUUUGGCGAAAGAGCCGCUAGGUCGCAACAAGAGAUAUUCCAAUUAAAGUAAACCAAUUAUCUAUUAAGUAGUAGAACGUUGUUCUGUUUUUAAAUAUUGUUUAUUGAGGCAAACUUCAAAGGGAAUCGCCACUAAAUAUGCGACAUGUUAAUACAUCAGCGUAACUUUUAAAUCUUAAUUUAUUCCCGUAUUUAUUAUUUAUUAAAAUCAAUUUUUGUACCUAAAACUAAAUGAAUUUAUGCUGAGCUCGUGACAUUUAUGGAGGUUCCCAUCCAAGUGCAACAAGCUAGAAAGAAGACUUAGUGAAUUAUUCAUAAGCAAAUUUCGUUUAACAUUUUUUACGUUUAUUUAUAAUUUAUUGCUAAAACGUGUUCAUUCUAUAUUGUAAGAGAUUUUAGCGUCGUUUUACCAACACUCAUAUUUUUGGGUUUCAUUGCUUUUUUCACUACAAAUGCCAUUGGUACCGUUUCGUCACUUAAUUUUUACAUUACUCAACUCGAAAUACAAGUAAGUUACUACUUGUUUAGUCUAGAAACGGUACUAACAGCCACGAUAAUAACAUCCUCUAAAUGGGUUUUUUCAACAUCGAAAACUGUUUUAACUUUUUAAAAGUGCAAACACUUUAUCCACAUGUUUUUGGCUAUUUCUAGUUGAAAAAUAUAAUGGGGCCCGCAAACAAACUAGCUAAGAAUUGAAGUUUCAAAUCUAUAAUACAAAACUAUUGUAAAUGGUAGACGGGAAAUGUAUGUUAGUGACAGCAUAAGCAUUAUUGUGAUGAUUAUGUAAACUAUUAGGUGCUUGGGAAACAUAUGUGCAUUUAAACUUCACCAAAUCGACAGUGUUUGAUAAAGGAAUGUGCAGCAAAACGUUUGCUCCUGAUCAAUGAAAACAGUCCCCGCUAAUAUUUGUUGCUCUAUAUAUGUUUGCCAUUUAUUUUUUACUAGCCGAAUGGAAUUUUUUAUUCGAACAAUUCGAAAUAUAUUAUUAUAAAAUAUCGAUUAUAUAUUAUUUGAUCAUUCAAUCAAAUGGAGGAAACGGUCGAAACGAUCUUGGUUCAUUACAGUAAACAACAGAUUCAUCCAAUUGGGGAAAACCGAUAGAUUUUUGAGGAUGGUUCUGCUGCCAAUUUUGCCACUUCAUUUUUACGAUUUAGUUGGAAUUUGGAAUUCAUCUGUGACUUUUUUGUCUUCAUUGUGAGUGCGUUCUCCUUAUUCUAGGCAAUGGUUGGAAUAAUGAACCUGUUUGCCGACAAUCGCCGAAUGACCAAAAUGAAAGUGAGGAAACUGCAAAUUGACAAAAAGUUGCCGUAGUAUGCGCAUUUUCAUAUUUCCUGCUGCUGCUGCAAAGCUCUUCCCCAGUUAAUAUAAAAUAUCACAGAUUGCUUCUCUUCUCCUGAAUUUGCACACAAAUGAUUGUGGAUAGUUGUUGAAAGCAGACUGAAAAUUCACCAAGUCUUUAAUUUUAGUUUUUGUCGAUUCGUUUUCUAGAUUUCCACUUGAAAAAAUCUCCUCCAACUCCUAGUUCAUUUCUUCAGAAGGUUAAGUCUUCAGGUGCCUCCACAAUCAAGAAACCUUCAUCUGUCCUCUGCCAGUCUACUCUCGAACAUUUCGGUUUAUCGUAAAAGGCGCCCACUCAUCAUUCCUCAAGAAAUGUCCAAGAUCGGCACUUUGGUCGCCUAGAGUUGAUUUUUGUUUGCCCUUUGUAGGACAUUCUUGUUUGUAACACCGUAUUCUCAUCUAUGGAAGUUGGUUCACACCGCUAAACCGACCAUUCCUAACGUUCAAUUUUACAUUGAUCGAGAUUAUCAUCGCAGAGGAACGUUCUUAUUGUAUUGAAAGUUUCCCCAGAAGUUUCGAUAUGAAAUUUGAUCUCGUUAUCCCAAUUUCGAUCUUCUUUAAUAAUAGUUGCGUGAUGUUAUCAGGGUUCAUUUACAUUGAGUUCGAGGAUCAAAAAUCGUCAAUUUGAUGCUUAAGUAAACGUUCAACUUAGAGGUGAUAAAUCAGGCCUGAAUGCCGCGAAGAAAAUCUUGCUCUGUUAUCUUGCGGUGUUAAACGCGCAGUUACUAAGAGGCAAAGUAGGAACAAGUUCAGGAGAAAUAUUGGUGGGACGGUUAUUCUAAAAAAAUAACAACGUUCAUAUACUAAAAAAUUGUGCAUUAUGCAAUACAUAAGCUGUACCUAAAAGUAAUUGGACACACUCUCAUGAUAUAUUCACAGAUACUUGGGAGGCUGUCAAUUCCAACCAAAAUACCCUUAACUUGUUUAGUGAUAUAAUCAUUUGCAAAAUGAAUUGUAGUCUAAAAUGAAACUAGUUAAAUGUUUUCGCCUAUUCCAACUCAAUCGAUUUCAUCAUCUUGAUUUUGUUGUGCAUUUGUUUAUCAAAUAGCAAAAAUGGUGCAAUUGUAACAUAGAUCGUCAUAGUCACAUUUGUAAAAAAAGUUUUCGUUUUAUUUUGUUAGCCAGACUGCUUGCGAAAGAUCAAUAAGGAAUUCGCACUAGGUUUUAGUUUUGUACAUAUUCAAAGAUAAGGAAGAAGCAAGUCUGUAUUAUUUGUUUAUCCGUUUGUUUGUCUUUUAAGUGAUUCAUACAAAAUGAUUCUUUAGUUUAUACUUAGAUGUACUAUUUUUAUGUUAGUCGACGGUGUAUAGAAUAUUAUUUAUUAAAGUUAUAUAAAUAUUA